AAGGAAAAGGGCAUGAUGCUGGGGCAGGCAGGUGGGUUUUAGAGAGGGUGAUCAGGGAAGGCCUUGCUGCGGGCGAGGUGACGUUUGUGUGCUUGUCAGGGGGAACAGCAAGUACAAAAGUCCUGAAGCAGGGCCAUGGCUGUCAUGUUGAGGACGCAGUGGGCAGAGGAGAAGGUGAUGAGAUCAGAGAGUUUCCUGCAGCGCCUUCCCAGGGACGCCAAGCCCAGGAACGAGGGCUGGAGGAGACGCUCUGGACAUCUGGACCUCUCAUGGCCAAGGACAACCUCCUGACCAUCAGAAGCUCACAGCCCUUCUCCGGGGAGGAAGCGGAGGACACAGCGGGGGCCAUCUCCUGCUCCAGGUCCAGGGUGAUGCAGCAGAGCUUUCCCUCCGCGUCACACACCAGUCCCUCUCAGCUGUGGUAGCGAGGCUGUAACCUCUUUCCGUCAGGCUCUCCUCCAGGAGGUCAUCUCCCAAGUCACGCUCAUUGCAGAUGGGUAACAGUCUGUGGAUUGGCCGUGGUCUGAGGACACCUCUUUGAUAGCAUCGAUUCAGGCUGUUGAGAGGUGGAUGCUGGCGUUGCAGAACCUCUCAGAUUGCCAGAAGGAACAAGGCUCCUGCAUCCCUGUUCCCCUAAGCAGGUACUUCUGGACACCAAGUCAAUUAACCUCAAGAUGUCCCAGGCCAGGCGCGCUGCGCUGACUUACGGCUGGAUCCCUCCUUCCAUCCCAGUCUGUCUCCCAGGACCUUCAGGAUGUACAUUGUUAUUAAAGUGUCCCCGCCAGUGGCCCCUGAUAAGCAUACAGAGCUGUGGGGUCGGGGUUGGAGUGGGGCGACCUGGGAGAGAGAAGUAUGUACAGGUAGAGGCCCGCCUUCUUUGAUUCCAACUCUAUACAAAACUUGGCCCAAGCAUCACCUCCUGCAGAAAGUCAUCCCGGGCCUGCAGCCAGACUGAGGGCCCCCGCCUGCGCUGCUGCAUCACAGAACAGGUCUCCCUGCAUUCACAUGGAACAGUUGACAUAGUAAAUUCGAAGGUGGUGCCAGCGCCUCUGGGGGUUGGAUGUGGUGUCACCUGCCUUGGUUCGAGGGUUUGACCAGAUUUCAGGGCUUGUCUGGGUGCCCCUGCGCAGGGUACAGUCUGUACAACUCUGAGCAGUGGCCCAGGUAGUUGGAGCUCCGGGCCCAUCUCUGGCAGACUUCAGGGGACUGGGGAGCAGGAAUUGUGUCUGGGACGUUGCAUCUUGAGUACAGAGGUCUCCGCCUGGUUGAGCAACAGAAAACACUGGCUUAAAAAAAUGUAGACACUCUGGCUCCAAUUUUAGGAAUUCUACCUCCAGAGGUCUGACAAGGGUCCUGAGUCUCGAAAACUUUUUUUUUUUUUGAAGAUGAUUAGCCCUGAGCUAACUGCUGCCAAUCCUCCUAUUUUUUGCUGAAGAAGACUGACCCUGCCUGAGCUAACAUCUGUGCCCAUCUUCCUCUACUUUCUAUGUGGGACGCCUGCCCAGCAUGGCUUGCCAAGCGGUGCCAUGUCCACAUCCGGGAUCUGGGCUGGCGAACCCCGGGCCGCCAGGAAGUAGAAUGUGCGCACUUAACCGCUGCACCACCGGGCUGGCCCCUUGACAUUUUGAAAAAGUGCCAUGUGACUCUGAUGCCCAGCUGCUGUCUGACCCAUAAGAGGUGUCUGGUGACUGUGCUCAUAGAAGUGCAGCACAUCUGUGGAGGGACACACAGGGAUCUGUGGCCUGCGGGGAGGGGAGCUGGGGGACACCAGAGGAAGAUGAGUCACUUUUUGUUAUACAUCUUUUUGUACUGAUUGGACUUUUAACCUAAAAAAAAUGUUUGACCAACUGAUGUUGUUGCUGUCAUCUAUGUGAGGGACCGCCAACUCUAGGCCUGCGGCUGGGGCCUGCAGUCCGGUGAAGGACAGGAGCAGGCCAGAGGAACGGAGAGCUGCAGAGCGCGUGUCCCACCUCAAGGGGGCAGCAGCCGCCCAGAGCCUGCUGACUGUGUCUGGGUGGGACUGAGCGCAGCGCUGCCAGAUCUUCCUACUUUUUCCAGAUAAGCCUGAAACCACAUUUUCAAGUAGAAUUAAUUGUCAACUAAUUCGAAAAUGUAGAACACAGCAUGGGCCGAACACAACACGUCUGCGAACCAAUUCUGGCUGCGGGCCACCAGUCCGUGCUGGCGGGUCUAGCAGGACGCUGUCAAGGACUGGGCACCUUGGAGGCCAAUCUGCAAAGCCAGGGCAGACCCAUCCUUCGCUUCUAGGAAAUCGAGUUCACUUCCCAUGGGGGUCCACACAGGACGAGGACAAAGCAGGUGCCCCAAGGCCCACAGGGGUCACCCGCCCACUCAAAAUGAUCUAAUUCCACACAUAUUUAUUAACCUCCCCUCGUGUGCCAGGCUGAGUGCUGGAGGUGGUGAAUGUGGUGAAUGUGACAGUCACAGUCCCUGGUCUCUAGGUGGGGAGACACACUUGAAAGAUAGUUGCAUAAUAAUUACAUUUGCGACAUGAGGAGCUGCAGUAUAGCAUGGGGAUCCUAAGUUUGAGUUUGAUUCCUGAUUUCACCACUUGCUAAUUAUGUCACUUUGGG
rnacentral:lncRNA from 1 species